AGUCGAACGAAGUACAAUACUUAGUGGCAGACGGGUGAGUAACAUGUAGGUAUCUGCCCUUUGGCCUGGAAUAACACGAGGAAACUUGUGCUAAUACCGGAUAAGUCUUUACGGAGAAAGCUUUAUGCACCAUUGGAUGAGCCUGCACUUGAUUAGUUUGUUGGUGGGGUAAUGGCCUACCAAGACUGUGAUCAAUAGCUGAUUUGAGAGGAUGAUCAGCCACAUUGGGACUGAAACACGGCCCAAACUCCUACGGGAGGCAGCAGUGGGGAAUCUUGCACAAUGGAGGAAACUCUGAUGCAGCGAUGCCGCGUGAGUGAAGAAGGCCCUUGGGCUGUAAAGCUCUUUCGUCGGGGAAGAAAAUGACUGUACC
rnacentral:rRNA from 1 species